rnacentral:rRNA from 1 species
AUUGAACGCUGGCGGCAGGCCCAACACACGCAAGUCGAGCGGAUGAAGAGAGCUUGCUCUCUGAUUUAGCGGCGGACGGGUGAGUAAUGCCUAGGAAUCUGCCUGGUAGUGGGGGAUAACGUUCCGAAAGGAACGCUAAUACCGCAUACGUCCUACGGGAGAAAGCAGGGGACCUUCGGGCCUUGCGCUAUCAGAUGAGCCUAGGUCGGAUUAGCUAGUUGGUGAGGUAAUGGCUCACCAAGGCUACGAUCCGUAACUGGUCUGAGAGGAUGAUCAGUCACACUGGAACUGAGACACGGUCCAGACUCCUACGGGAGGCAGCAGUGGGGAAUAUUGGACAAUGGGCGAAAGCCUGAUCCAGCCAUGCCGCGUGUGUGAAGAAGGUCUUCGGAUUGUAAAGCACUUUAAGUUGGGAGGAAGGGCAGUAAGUUAAUACCUUGCUGUUUUGACGUUACCGACAGAAUAAGCACCGGCUAACUUCGUGCCAGCCGCCGCGGUAACAC